rnacentral:rRNA from 1 species
AGGUUUUCGGACCUAGAGACCGGCGCACGGGUGCGUAACGCGUAUGCAAUCUACCUUUUACAGAGGGAUAGCCCAGAGAAAUUUGGAUUAAUACCUCAUAGUAUUAUUGAAUGGCAUCAUUUAAUAAUUAAAGUCACAACGGUAAAAGAUGAGCAUGCGUCCCAUUAGCUAGUUGGUAAGGUAACGGCUUACCAAGGCAACGAUGGGUAGGGGCCCUGAGAGGGAGAUCCCCCACACUGGUACUGAGACACGGACCAGACUCCUACGGGAGGCAGCAGUGAGGAAUAUUGGUCAAUGGGCGCAAGCCUGAACCAGCCAUGCCGCGUGCAGGAUGACGGUCCUAUGGAUUGUAAACUGCUUUUGUACAGGAAGAAACAGUUCUACGUGUAGAACCUUGACGGUACUGUAAGAAUAAGGAUCGGCUAACUCCGUGCCAGCAGCCGCGGUAAUACGGAAGAUCCAAGCGUUAUCCGGAAUCAUUGGGUUUAAAGGGUCCGUAGGCGGUUUUGUAAGUCAGUGGUGAAAGCCCAUCGCUCAACGGUGGAACGGCCAUUGAUACUGCAAGACUUGAAUUAUUAGGAAGUAACUAGAAUAUGUAGUGUAGCGGUGAAAUGCUUAGAGAUUACAUGGAAUACCAAUUGCGAAGGCGGGUUACUACUAAUUGAUUGACGCUGAUGGACGAAAGCGUGGGGAGCGAACAGGAUUAGAUACCCUGGUAGUCCACGCCGUAAACCAUGGAUACUAGCUGUUCCGAGCAAUCUGAGUGGCU